AAGAUUUCAACCCAAGAACUCCAAAAACCCAAAAAUGAAUACACGAAGUUCACAUGCAAUUAAAAUUAUAUAUAUAAUAAUUGUAAAACCAUUCAUGAUUCCGAACUGAAAACACACAUCCAAUUAACUGCUAGUCCAGCAUUUGACAAAUACUGAUUUGCAAUCGUCAAGAGGCAAAAUUUACUAAAAGCCAACAGCUGCAAUCGCAUCAGACAAAAACUAUAUUAUACUCGUAAGACGACCAAUUUACUAAAAUUUAAUAGCAUAUAUGAUAUUUCAAAAGGUUCAUAUUGACUAGGUAGAGUAAUAAAAUUCAUAGAUUCUACACAUUUAAAAACAUAAUUUAGAAUUUGCAUGGAGAUGGUACAUCUCCAACAACUUCGACUAGAUAAAAAUACUUCUACCCAAACAAAAUGUAGUAACUAAUGCCAAUAUCCUCUGUGACUCCCAUCCCAAAAUAAGAGCUUACUUCUUUUCCACAUUAGCCUUUUUUCCAGAUCCAUCCUCUUCUGUUGCUUCUGAAACUACAUCAUCUUCCCUUUUCCUCUUGUUAGAUUCAUUGUUAGGUGUGGAGUCCCCUUUCUCAUUUUCAACAGAAGAAUCUUUCUUACUCUUGUCAGAUGCAUUUUGCUCAUUCUCCUUUGAGUCAUCAGUCUUAAACACAAACUCAGAUUCAGCAAAGUAGGCUUUCACUGAUGAAAGAGCCCUGUAUCGAUGAGAAAUUUUGUUCUUUUCUUCCUUUGGCAUCUCUGCAAAAGUUUGCUCAUAGCCAUCAGGUUGAAAAAUUGGAUCCCAUCCAAAAUCCUUGGGUCCCUUAGGAGGAACUAUUUUUCCCUAAAGGAUAGAGCAACAAGUCAAAUGUUGGUUCAAAACAAACACAUUUAAUAGAAUAAUACCAUAUGUUAUCACUUAAAGAAUAAUUAGAUCAUUUGAUUAAGAUUAAAAAACACUUUAAAGAGUACCAUAGUUUUCCCAUUAAAUGUUACUGGUUCAGAGUCAGCAUCAAGAGCAAAAGAAAAUGUACACAAUGCAUAAGCUGAUUUAUCCUCAUAGGCAUGCAGUAAGUUGUUCAAACCUUCAAGACCAGUCUUGUCCA
rnacentral:misc_RNA from 1 species